rnacentral:rRNA from 1 species
GACGAACUGUGCAAACGUUAUUCGGAAUCACUGGGCGUGAAGAGUGCGUAGGCGGUUUCGUAAGUAGGGUGUGAAAGCCCCCAGCUCAACUGGGGAACUGCGUCCUAAACUGCGAGGCUGGAGUGAGGUAGGGGUGUGUGGAACUUCCGGUGGAGCGGUGAAAUGUGUUGAUAUCGGAAGGAACGCCGGUGGCGAAAGCGACACACUGGGCCUUGUCUGACGCUGAGGCACGAAAGCUAGGGGAGCAAACGGG